rnacentral:rRNA from 1 species
UACAGAGGGGGCAAGCGUUAUUCGGAAUUAUUGGGCGUAAAGGGCGCGUAGGCGGCCUGGCGAGUGGAAGGUGAAAUCCCUCGGCUUAACCGAGGAACUGCCCUCCAAACUGCUUGGCUUGAGUCCGGGAGAGGUGAGUGGAAUUCCCAGUGUAGCGGUGAAAUGCGUAGAUAUCGCUUGGAACGCCGAAGGUGAAAACAGGCUGCUGGGGUUGCGCCGACGCUGAGACACGAAAGCCAGGGGAGCAAACGGG